GGAGGAUCUUGAGGUGAGCUGGCUGAAGGAAGGCUGGACUCAGCUAGACAUUGCUACCUGGGAAUAGGGCUUUUUAGAUUUAGAAACCUGGUUUCUAUUGAAUUCACUGAACUUACCCUGUCACACUCUCAAGGAGAUUCAAAGAAGGACUGCUACUGGUUCCUGAGGUAUGUACCUGGUUUCAAGGAACAGAAGAAAACCACCUAGAAAAAGAUAUAACAGAAGGUUGUGUGCCAGGAAAAAAUGU